CAAUCCCUGGAUGCAGCUGUUGACAGCCUGCACAGAUCACAGGAGUCCUUGGCUGCAGCUCAGAAUCCAGGCAUGAAAAGCUGAGAAGGGAAAAGGAUUUUUGGAUUAAUAGAUGCUAAAAGCAAAAGAUACUCACAAAAGUAAACUAAAGCAAGAGAAAUGUGCUAAAGAAGGAUUGGGCUUGUUAAAGCAAAAAUAUAUUUGGCCUCAUCACAGUAUCCACUUAGAAAUAUCUUGGGCUAAGUUACCAGUCAGUGAAAUAGUUUCCCAAAUGCACAGAAAAUGGAAAUUCCAGAGCAAGGCUUCCUGAAGUGAUAAAGAAAGAACAAUGGCCCAGAGUCACCUCUCAUGUAUAGCUAGUAAGUAUCAAUGACAGGAACACUGAACUGUGUGCUUUACAGACAGACAAUUU